UUGGUCAAUUAGGUCUCCUUCGCUCCCUCAAGGCCUCAAAUCCCUCCGCCUCAAGAAGCCCAAAUCCCCCUUCUCUCUCGAAGCAUCUCCUAUCCAAAGAUCCAGAUGCGCUCACCACCGUCGUCCGCAUCCAAGCCGCCCCGCCGUUUCCCACUGCCGUCCGCAUCCAAGCCGCCCCGCCGUGUCCCCUACCAGACUGUCGUGUCCCACCACCUCCCGUCGCCCCACCUCCCCCCCGUCCCGCCGUGUCCCCUGCAUCACCACCGCCCGGCCGCCCCACGCCGCACUGCCCUGUCGUGCCCCCUCUUCCUCCCCUCGUAUACCCCCAGCAUGGUCGUGACGGCCGCGCUGACCAUGGCCAUGACAGCAAGGAUGAUGGCGACGCGUGACCCAUGGUGACCUUACCCCGGCUGAUAGUUUGGAUGACCACCGGAUCUACCUGACAUCGUAUCCCCUCCUCUCCAACAGUUAGCAGAGUUGUGAUCUUGUUGUAUCAGGAAUUCAGGAGGUCUGAUAAAUUGUAAUUUCUCUCCAACUAGGCAUUCCCCUUUGAUCUUAGUGCCAUGAACAUGUUCUUACCGGUGGUCAGGUCUGAUGGUUGAUGCAUAAUAGCAUCUAAUUCAGGCUCUUGCAUGAAGGAGCUUCUUGAGAUUUUGGCAACUAAAAAAGGAGUGCCUAUCAACGAAACCCCCCCAUCUCCAGUUCCACCUUCUGCUUGUUCACCAUCUCUUCCAGAUGUUGGAAACAAGCCAAGAACCACCAGCUUUGUGUGCUCAGCAACAUAUAGAUCAUGUAAGUUCUCUACCCAAUACCCAUGAAUUCUUGCGUUGCUGGUGCUUUCUACCCAAUACCCAUGACUGAUGGCUGCUGGGCUGCCUGCUGUUCCCAGUCAAUUAGCAAUUUCAGAAUUAAAUUAAUUGGGCACACAAUUAAUUUAGUGCAAAUCAUUAUUGUAUGUGUCUUUCUAGUUCGUCUAGUGAUAAUAAUCUGGGACCGAUUCGGUCUAGCCUAGCACAUAUAUUUCAGGGAAGUAAGUAUCACAGACUCAGCGUAGCCUAGCACAUAUCUUUUAGGAAUGUGAGUAUCACAGAUUCAGUGUAGCCUACCACAUAUCUUUUAGAUCAAGGUUAGGUUUUAGUGUUCUUUACUGGGCUGUGCUCACGAUUCACAAAGCAGUAUCAUGUGUUGUGCAAGCUGCCGAAACACUAGGAGAGGUACAUACUCAGCGUACUGCAAUAUUUAGAGCAUUCAGUCAUGAAUCAAAAUCCUUUUUAUGGUAGGGAUGAAUCAAAAUCUUAGUCUAAUAUUAUGUCAAACUAUCCUAAGCAUGGUAAUUAACGUUUGUCAAUUUCGUUCCUGGUCCAGAUGAUUUACACAGCACAAAAACAUCCAUGUACAUAGGCAGGUUGUCCCAGCAAGCAAAAAUUUCACUACACACCGCUUUUAGUAAUUAUCACUAAAGCUUUGUUUCGUGCUUUGAUAUGCGAGUUUGAUAGGAGCAGCAAUGCUUUGGUGAUAAAACUUUUGUUCCGUCAAAACUGAAAAUAUUAAUCUGUCCUGUGAAAUGAUAAUAUAUAUUAAUCAAUUGUGGGUAUUUUGGCAAUUCUAUGAUGUUGUUGUACAUAGGCAGGUUGUCCCAGCAAGCAAAAAUUUCACUACACACCGCUUUUAGUAAUUAUCACUAAAGCUUUGUUUCGUGCUUUGAUAUGCGAGUUUGAUAGGAGCAGCAAUGCUUUGGUGAUAAAACUUUUGUUCCGUCAAAACUGAAAAUAUUAAUCUGUCCUGUGAAAUGAUAAUAUAUAUUAAUCAAUUGUGGGUAUUUUGGCAAUUCUAUGAUGUUGUUGUACAUAGGCAGGUUGUCCCAGCAAGCAAAAAUUUCACUACACACCGCUUUUAGUAAUUAUCACUAAAGCUUUGUUUCGUGCUUUGAUAUGCGAGUUUGAUAGGAGCAGCAAUGCUUUGGUGAUAAAACUUUUGUUCUGUCAAAACUGAAAAUAUCAAUCUGUCCUGUGAAAUGACAAUAUAUAUUAAUCAAUUGUGGGUAUUUUGGCAAUUCUAUGAUGUUGUUUAUUGUCCUACUUUUUUUCUAAAGGUAUAGCGUGAUUUAUACAUGCAGACUUUGUCAAAAAAACGUGCAAGAACAUUUUAGUAGAGCUUGGAUGUAGAUGAGGACAUGAGGUAGUGUUUCAAAAGCUUCAUCACGGCACAUAUAUUGAUGUACUUCUGAAAAUGUACUUGUUUGAAUUAUAUGUAUCAUAUUUUGUUGACUACACUUUCUAGUAUCUUCGUACAACAGUUAAAUAAAUCUACUGGAAAUCUAUAGUGGACGGUAUGCUACAAAAAUGGUGAGAAAUGAAUUUCUUUCUCGGUAAGUAACUUUGUUUUCCAGUGUGCAGCCAGGCUAUUGGGUUUGGAGGGUUGAUUCAACUUAUAGAAGGGGCCGUAUGCACCAAAGAGUAGUAGAGAUGGAGAUGCUCGUGGGGUCUGCGAAGCUAUGGAGGCAGGUGAAGGUGUCAUAUGCAUGUUUGCAUCUUCUCUUCUCAUGAAUCUUAUAUGGAGAAAUAUAAUUCAGGAAACAACUAUGUAAGUGGAGCAAUAUCAGUUUUCACUAAAUAUGAUCCACCAACUAUAUCAAGGUACUGUAAUUUGAACCAUUCAAAUUAUGUUAAAUGUGGUAAAUAGCCGAAUUUUCUUGAAAAACAUUGCCGUUAUUUUCUAAAACAUUGCCAAGCGUGGCAACGCGCCCCUUUAUGUCCUACUAUCUAAAAUCUUCUUACGAGUACUUUGGUUAGGUACUAGCAAGCAUGCGCGUCCACACACGCACGUACAACACAACACACAUGCUCUGCUCCUGAUUUGUCAAUAGUAUGCUGAUGCUUUGCUUUGAUCUGCUCUACCACUCUGAAAUUUUUGCAAUGGGGGCCACUUACUUUGCAUGUGCUUGCUCAUGCAGUGACCUGAUUGAUAGUUGUCUCUCUUCAACUAAUGUCCAGAUACAACAAGUUAGUCUUGAUUUGUACAGGAGCCAAGUAGAAUUGUCUGAACUCUUUUUUUGGGUUUUUACUUACCACACAUCUGCCACGUGGUGACUGUCAGAACUCUAAAUGCAAUAGCGCAACAGUUUACUACUAUGUGAGAUUAAAUGGGAUUAUGUGGGAAGUAGACGCAACAAUGUUGAUUGUGGGCUGCCUAUGAACACCCACAUAACAGAUGCGUGCAGAUGUGGGCAUCCUGCUAUUAGUCCCGCUUGUAGCUUGAAUGUGUAUCCCUAACAAAGUGAAGGGUCAUGACAAUCUUCCUGAACUAUGACCAUGUGUAUCCAUUGACCUAUUUUUCAUGCAAAUUCUACUAUCAGUAUAUAGGUUGCUUCCAAAGUAGUUUCAAAGACUUCAACAUAUCCAAACAAGUGGAAUGUUGCAUAUGCUACUAUUCGGUGCACUGAUCCAGAAACUAGGGCUGGUGAUAUUGAGUUAGGUACCGACUUUGCAUGUGUGUGCAUAGAUGAAACUAUUCUGGAUAAUGAGGUGUUGGGGAAGUUGAAGUUUCUGAUUGGUGAUGCUUUUUCUUGAGGAUACUUAAUCGCCUGGCCUCGAGCUUUUAUUAAAAAGAAGGAUAAUUGAGUUGCAGCUGAAUUCUCUGGUUGGAUCAAGAAGCAAAUAAAAUUAGAGAAAUGUACUUUGCAAUAACCGUAGUUUCUGUUGAUAGAUGAAAAAAAAUGUAAUAUCAUACACGAGAUCUUUUUCUUUGUUAGAAUUGAUGCAAAUGCUAUGUUGUAAUAUUAUCUGGAGAUAUGUUCUUUGUAGUCAAAUUAAUAUGAAUGAUAUGUUGCACCAAUAA